rnacentral:rRNA from 1 species
CAGUCGCCGCGGGAAUACGUAGGGUGCAAGCGUUAAUCGGAAUUACUGGGCGUAAAGCGUGCGUAGGUGGUGGUUUAAGUCCGUUGUGAAAGCCCUGGGCUCAACCUGGGAAUUGCAGUGGAUACUGGGUCACUAGAGUGUGGUAGAGGAUAGUGGAAUUUCCGGUGUAGCAGUGAAAUGCGUAGAGAUCGGAAGGAACAUCUGUGGCGAAGGCGACUAUCUGGGCCAACACUGACACUGAGGCACGAAAGCGUGGGGAGCAAACAGGAUUAGAUACCCCCGUAGUCCCUGUCUCUUAUAC